CUGCACUUGGCCAAGUUGCAAGUUGCAGCCAUCGAUGCGAGACGGCAUUGAACUUUCGCCAAAAGGCAUUCGCACAGCGAAAACUAUCGUAAAGACAAUGGGCCUCAGUCGACACUCUACUGACCCAAUUGGGGAUACUACCAACGUUAGCUGUGCUGGGUUAGGCCUGGCCAAAGAGAGAUAAUCAUGAGUGCUUGGAAUCCUAUAUCAAUAAUUGACUUAAAACCAAACAAUUUAUGAUGACCUAAGCCCAAACAAAAGGCAGCCAGCCAUGGAGGAACUCAGCCAGACAGCAAAAGCAAAAGGGUGCGGUAAUCAAAGGAAUUGGCCAAACAGAUUUUGCCAAACGGAUAACGGCCAACUCAGCGCCAAGACCUGCAAAACUGAUGACGUUGUUAUAGCCAUUGUUGCUGUUCUUGUUGUUGUUCUUGUUGCUGUUGCCAAUGAUGAUGGCGAUGCCGAAGCUGAUGCUGAUGCUGAUAAUGUACUCGAUGAACGAUAGAGCACGCCGGCUGAGUGCAAUGGAAUGGAGGGAAACAAAACCCACGCAAAACUAAUGUGAAAGUCAAUGCGGACAACGGGCAGGAAUAGACGAAGAAAACUACACUCAGACAAAAUAGUGUAUUCUUGGGCUGGCGAUGACGAUGUCUACGACGACGAUGACUGGCGCGAGCUGCAAUUUUGACCUUUAGAGUAACUCUCUGAAAACAUCUUUAUGCUGACUUGAGAGCAAUAAAUAGCAGCACCAAGGAAUUCAAGUGGAAAAGCAUGGCAAAUAAAUACGAAUAUGCUGCGGAUAAAUAUUAUUUGUUGCGCCAACUAUAAGUAGAAUGAGUCGAACAGAGAUACGAUAUGCGAACGGGGAGCAGUCUAGGCUAGGCCAGCACAGUUCAGUUCAGUUCGGUUCAGUUCAAGACAUGCCAAAACAAAGGCCAUGGCUUACAAUUGUCGGCCAACUGGGUCAGCAAGUCAAGGACCAGUUAAAGAGCGCUCCAGGGAUUUGUGUUGAUUUCCAUUUAUAGAACUGCGAACUGGAAUUAUGGACAGUAGCAAAUAAGUGCAUAAAUUUUUCCAUGAACGACGCACACGCAUUGCUGCCAUCAAACUGCAAAUCAAAUCAAUGUAAUGAUGACUCGUCCAUUUCUGAGCUGACUCACUUAUGUAAUAACAAAAUUGGCACAAACAUAUGUAUUAGAAGCUGCCACGACAAACACUACAAGAAAUGGGUUGCCCCCGUGCCCUUUGCCCUGUUGUUGUCCUUACUCCUAACAUGAUUAUUUCUUGUCCCGGACUAAAGAAUAUCGAUAGAACUGCUGUGUCACUAUUGGCGAAGGGUAACCCACAUCGAAGUAUCUGCAUUUUGAAUGAACUUGCUGGAAAUCGAACGCGCCUCAUGUGGGGCAUGAGUCUCAACUACAAGGCUUUUAUUUUGUAUUAAGAAAAUUGAGAAAUUUCCCGAUUUUUAU